GGACUAACGGCUGGCGGCGUGCCUAACACAUGCAAGUCGAACGAUUCUUGAUUUAUAGCAAUAUUAUUAAAGAGGAGUGGCGAACGGGUGAGUAACACGUAGAUAAUCUGCCUUCAGACGGGGACAACUCAGGGAAACUUGUGCUAAUACCCGAUGAGACCACAAGAAGGGAUUUUUUGUGGCCAAAGGCGGGCAGCAAUGCUCGUGCUGAAAGAUGAGUCUGCGUCCUAUCAGCUAGUUGGUGGGGUAAAUGCCUACCAAGGCUAAGACGGGUAGCCGGCCUGAGAGGGUGAACGGCCACACUGGGACUGAGACACGGCCCAGACUCCUACGGGAGGCAGCAGUGAGGAAUUUUCCGCAAUGGGCGCAAGCCUGACGGAGCGACGCCGCGUGAGGGAUGACAGCUUUCGGGUUGUAAACCUCUUUUAUUAAGGAAAAAGAUCUAUAUGCUAAUAUCAUGUAGAUUUGAUGGUACUUAUUGAAUAAGCCCCGGCUAACUACGUGCCAGCCGCCGC
rnacentral:rRNA from 1 species